ACGGAAGGCAGCAGUGGGGAAUAUUGGACAAUGGAGGCAACUCUGAUCCAGCGACGCCGCGUGAGUGAAGAAGUAUUUCGGUAUGUAAAGCUCUAUCAGCAGGGAAGAUAAUGACGGUACCUGACUAAGAAGCCCCGGCUAACUACGUGCCAGCAGCCGCGGUAAUACGUAGGGGGCAAGCGUUAUCCGGAUUUACUGGGUGUAAAGGGAGCGUAGGCGGCCAGACAAGUCAGAUGUGAAAGCCCGGGGCUCAACUCCGGUACUGCAUUUGAAACUGCCAGGCUUGAGUGCAGGAGAGGCAAGCGGAAUUCCUAGUGUAGCGGUGAAAUGCGUAGAUAUUAGGAGGAACAUCAGUGGCGAAGGCGGCUUACUGGGCUUUAACUGACGCUGAGGCUCGAAAGCGUGGGGAGCAAACAGGAUUAGAUACCCUGGUA
rnacentral:rRNA from 1 species